NNNNNNNNNNNNNNNNNNNNNNNNNNNNACUUUUUUCAGAGCCACCAGUAGCUGUAUGAUAGUGCUUCUGAAUUGGCUUUCUGACAUUGAAUUGUAAUCCAGAUUUUGUAACUCUGUGGGAGAGAGGACUGUUUCUGAUUCUUUCUUUUGAGGUGAGGUUUUCCUUCUAGUCAUUUUGCUCAGUGCAGAGUGGCCAAAAGCAAGUUGUAUUGGGAAAAAGAGAAAAAGAGAGGAGAGAAAGAAGGAAAGAAAAGAGAAAGAGAAAAAAAAGGGAAGAGAAAAAAAACGAAAGAAGAAAAAAAAAGAAGAAAAAGAGAGAGAAAAAGAAAGGAGAAAAAAAAGGGGGUGGUGGUGGAAAGAAACAAAUCAAAAAGCAAAACAAAACAAAACAAAACAAAACAAAAAAACAAACAAAAAAAAACCAAAAAAAAAAAAAAAAAACCAAAAAAAAAAAAAGAACCACGGGGGAGUAUCUUCUGAUUCUGUGUUCUUUAAGUCCCUUGGCUUCUCCUGGAAGUUGUCCGUCUAGCUGGUGUUCUGGGGGAGGUGCCUGUUGUGCUGAUUUUCAGGUGUUAGCAGUUGGGGGAGCUGCUGUGCCCCCGCCUGGUGCAGGGCUCAGUGGGGGUUGUUUACCCCGUGAGGCCGCAGGAGGAACAGCCCCAGUGGCGGGGCAGCUCUGGAAACCUGGAUUCAGCUCCGGCAGGAACUCCGUCUGCAGGGCCUGGAGGCUCCGGGGCGGGGCCGCUGAUCUGCUCAGCUGGGGCAGGAGCGUCCUCGCUGUCCUGGGCCCUCCCGGCCUCUGCCUGUCCCGGGGGAGGCGGGAUCCUGGGCUGUGUCCCGGCGCCCUGUGCUCCGGGGCCUGCGCUGGUGGAUUCGCGCUCCCGCCCCGCAGCCCCCUCCGCGGAGCCGCCGCCCGAGCCCCCCGAGCUGCUCCGGGUCCCGCCGUGCGCGCUGCAGCCCUUAGGGAGCUUGGCGCACUCUCCCCGGGGCGCAGGUGUGUUAGUGUCCCAGGGAGCCUGAGGGCAUCCCCGCCCUCCCGGGUCCUGCUCCACCUCCCCGCGAGCCCCUUUCACCCGGGAAGGUCGGUGCAGCUCCUGCGUCUCCGGGACGGGGCUCUCCUGUCCUGGGGACACUCGCCCCGGCCUCAGCCCGGCUCCUCGCGGGGCCCCUCCCCCUUGGAGGCCUUUGUUUCUUUACUUCUUUUUCCCCGUCUUCCUACCUUGAUAGAAGCGCGAACUCUUCUCACUGUUGCCUUCCAGCUGGUCUCUCUUUAAAUCUCAGGCCGAAUUCAUAGAUUUUCAGGAUAAUUUGAAGGUUUUCUAGGUAGUUUGGUGGAGACAGGUGAUUUGGAGACCCUACUCUUCCGCCAUCUUGCUCCUCCCUCUAUAUUCUUUUUUUAAAUAUUUGAUUUAUUUAUUCACAACACACACACACACACACACAGAGGCAGAGACAUAGGCAGAAGGAGGAAAAGCAGGCUCCGUGCAGGGA
rnacentral:lncRNA from 12 species